rnacentral:rRNA from 1 species
UCCCAGACUCCUACGGGAGGCAGCAGUGAGGAAUAUUGGUCAAUGGACGGAAGUCUGAACCAGCCAUGCCGCGUGCAGGAAGACGGCUCUAUGAGUUGUAAACUGCUUUUGUACAAGGGUAAACCUGAAUACGUGUAUUCAGCUGAAAGUACUGUACGAAUAAGGAUCGGCUAACUCCGUGCCAGCAGCCGCGGUAAUACGGAGGAUGCGAGCGUUAUCCGGAUUUAUUGGGUUUAAAGGGUGCGUAGGCGGAUUUUUAAGUCAGCGGUAAAAUGUCCGGGCUCAACCCGGGCCGGCCGUUGAAACUGGGGAUCUUGAGUGGGCGAGAAGUAUGCGGAAUGCGUGGUGUAGCGGUGAAAUGCAUAGAUAUCACGCAGAACUCCGAUUGCGAAGGCAGCAUACCGGCGCCCGACUGACGCUGAGGCACGAAAGCGUGUGGAUCGAACAGGAUUAGAUACCCGAGUA